AAAGAUUCAUCGCUGAUAGAUAGGCAUGCGUUCCAUUAGGCAGUUGGCGGGGUAACGGCCCACCAAACCGACGAUGGAUAGGGGUUCUGAGAGGAAGGUCCCCCACAUUGGUACUGAGACACGGACCAAACUCCUACGGGAGGCAGCAGUGAGGAAUAUUGGUCAAUGGGCGUAAGCCUGAACCAGCCAAGUCGCGUGAGGGAUGAAGGUUCUAUGGAUCGUAAACCUCUUUUAUAAGGGAAUAAAGUGUGGGACGUGUCCUGUUUUGUAUGUACCUUAUGAAUAAGGAUCGGCUAACUCCGUGCCAGCAGCCGCGGUAAUACGGAGGAUCCGAGCGUUAUCCGGAUUUAUUGGGUUUAAAGGGUGCGUAGGCGGCCUUUUAAGUCAGCGGUGAAAGUCUGUGGCUCAACCAUAGAAUUGCCGUUGAAACUGGGAGGCUUGAGUAUGUUUGAGGCAGGCGGAAUGCGUGGUGUAGCGGUGAAAUGCUUAGAUAUCACGCAGAACCCCGAUUGCGAAGGCAGCCUGCCAAGCCAUGACUGACGCUGAUGCACGAAAGCGUGGGGAUCAAACAGGAUUAGAUACCCUGGUAGUCCACGCAGUAAACGAUGAUCACUAGCUGUUUGCGAUACAGUGUAA
rnacentral:rRNA from 1 species